AAAAACUUAGUUAAAAAAUAACAUUAGUUUGUCAAACUAAAAUUAUUAAAAUUAAUAGUUUUUG
rnacentral:tRNA from 1 species